UUUGUGUUUCAGGAUGAGCAACAAGAGAGGACUGUACUGCCCGUGAAGCUGGUCCACUUCCCCGGCGGCUCCCUGGGCGCCAAGGUGAGGGCCUGGUGGGGCUGCCUUGAUGGGCCGGCCAGUGAGUGCAGUGUCUGGGUCGCCACCGCCGGCAAGGACUGCGUCGCUACAGUUGUGCAAGUAAGGCGCUUGUGGCUGGCUCGCCCAUCCCUUCCACGAAGCAACACCAAACGCAGCUG